rnacentral:rRNA from 1 species
UAGGGAAUCUUCGGCAAUGGGGGGAACCCUGACCGAGCAACGCCGCGUGAGUGAAGAAGGUUUUCGGAUCGUAAAGCUCUGUUGUUAAGGAAGAACGAGUGUGAGAAUGGAAAGUUCAUACUGUGACGGUACUUAACCAGAAAGGGACGGCUACCUACGUGCCAGCAGCCGCGGUAAUACGUAGGUCCCGAGCGUUGUCCGGAUUUAUUGGGCGUAAAGCGAGCGCAGGCGGUUAGAUAAGUCUGAAGUUAAAGGCAGUGGCUCAACCAUUGUAGGCUUUGGAAACUGUUUAACUUGAGUGCAGAAGGGGAGAGUGGAAUUCCAUGUGUAGCGGUGAAAUGCGUAGAUAUAUGGAGGAACACCGGUGGCGAAAGCGGCUCUCUGGUCUGUAACUGACGCUGAGGCUCGAAAGCGUGGGGAGCGAACAGG